AAGCGGCGGCCUUAGCCAAUUUGGCGGGAGGAGCAGGCAUAGAGACAGUGACCUAAAGUGUUGACAGUUCAAAGGCUUGUGUUAUAACAAUUAGGAUGUCAGUGUUACACAGCUGAAUAUACAAGUAUACAUUGCCAAUUAGCUUGAAGAACAUGAAAGGGACCAGGAUUAAUCAUUUUGCCAUUCCUUGGCAAUUAUGACAGAAGCUCAAGCAGCUAUCAUGAAGCCAUAAAUAAAGUUAUUUAAUCCUUUUAAAACUGAAAACAUUCUUUUAAAACUUGGUUACAGUUCUUUCUAAUGAAUAAAAUACAUUAACAGAUUCAUGUAACAUCAUUAAAUGUGAAAGUUUUUAAAUGAAGUUUGGCUGUGAAAUCACCACUAUGACACUUACAAAAAUAAAUUAAAAUGAAAAUAUAGACUGGUACAGGACUAACUGGUAUCAGUGAAAUAAAUUUCUGAUCCCAGGUAAAUUAA
rnacentral:lncRNA from 1 species